CGCAUUUCUUAUGGAGCAUGUGAAGAGGAAAGUUUGUCAUGCCAUACUUGAUUUGCAAGAAAUUUAGGAUCAAUGAAAGAGAUUAUUUAACCAGAAAAUAUUUCUAAGACUCUGGUCCAGUGGUAGCAGCACUAGCCACUACGCGUGAUGUGUAGAUUAGGUGCAUGUCGUGAGUUUGAACAUGUUAUGGACCAAAAUGAUAAUUUUAGCUGUUCUAGAAACAGAUAAUAUAUGGUAUAAGGUUUGUGUCUGCUUCAUUAUUUAUCUUGAAACUUGCUUCUUCUUUUUUCCUGUAACAUCUACUUUAAUUGGAUAUACAACCAUGUUUGAUCGAAGCAGCAAUCUGAGGUCUAUUUUGUUGUGUUCGAUGCAGAUCAUCACUAGAUAAUUCAUUCCCAUGUCUGGGAGUUUCAUCUUUAACGACAUAGAUUACAAGUCUCAACUGUUGUUGUUUUAGUCUCCGAAUUUACAGACAUGUCCUUUCUUUCACCUUUACUCUGUAUUCUUAGGUUCACUAAGCCUGGUAGUUUUCGCUUACACUCUUCUUGGCAGAUCGCAUUUCUUAUGGAGAAUGUGAAGAGGAAAGUCUGCCAUGCCACACUUGAUUUGCAGAUGUAGUUAAAAUUCUGGAGGAUGGAGAUCUUCAAACGCUUGGCAUGCUGGAUUACAAUAAAAGGUUGCAACAUUCCUUCACUGCUCACUCGAAGGUGGUUUGAUCCAAGAAAGUGAUACGAAUCACUCGGGGUGAAAAAUUCGAUAUUUCGACAAUAGUACUAGAACGCAGGUGACGAUGAGGAUCUCAUUGGCUAGAGAAUUCGAGUAGCAUAUUCCUGGUGAGCCCCACAAUUAUUCGCGUGGGCUAUAGUUUAUUUAUUCGUUAUGUUUUUUUUUCUUAAAAAAUCUUAGUUUGCUCCAUAGUCAUGUCUUUAGAGUUUUGAGUCUUUCGUUAUAUUGGAUUUAUGAAAUAUUGGAUUUUCUCUCAUCUUUGAAGAUGGUUUUCGUAUUGUUAGUUGGUGGUAUUGGUGAAUUGUUGAUGAUAUAUGGUGAGUUGUAUUGGUGUUUGUGUGGUGGUUGUAAUGUUGUGUUGUUUUUUUGAUUGAAUUGAGACUGAGAAUUUUCUUGUUAGGCCUAAAAAAUAGGGGAAACUCUGCCCAAUUUCUUGUAGAAUUCUGACGAGGCUUGUUUUGGAGUCCUAAACUCCUUAGCACCGGUCAUGAUCCUAUUCUUGGUCGUGACAUCUAAACUUUUAAAAAGUAACACACAUCAACUGUGGCUAUCAGCUAAUCACUUCCAUGUAUCCUUCCCUUUAAUUGCAAAAUCCUCCGAGUUCUCCAAUGAACAAGGUUCUUCUUCCCAUUUUGGACCCGGGCUUCCUAAAUACCAUAUAGGUCAUUACUUGAAUAGAGAUAUAAGAACCUUUAAAAUAUCCUAUUACUAC